GACGAACGCUGGCGGCGUGCUUAACACAUGCAAGUCGAACGAUGAAGCCGGAGCUUGCUCCGGUGGAUUAGUGGCGAACGGGUGAGUAACACGUGAGCAAUCUGCCCUUGACUCUGGGAUAACUGCGGGAAACUGUAGCUAAUACCGGAUACGACACCUUGGGGCAUCCCAGGGUGUGGAAAGAAUUUCGGUCAAGGAUGAGCUCGCGGCCUAUCAGCUAGUUGGUGAGGUAAUGGCUCACCAAGGCGACGACGGGUAGCCGGCCUGAGAGGGUGACCGGCCACACUGGAACUGAGACACGGUCCAGACUCCUACGGGAGGCAGCAGUGGGGAAUAUUGCACAAUGGGCGAAAGCCUGAUGCAGCAACGCCGCGUGAGGGAUGAAGGCCUUCGGGUUGUAAACCUCUUUUAGCAGGGAAGAAGCGAAAGUGACGGUACCUGCAGAAAAAGCACCGGCUAACUACGUGCCAGCAGCCGCCGCGG
rnacentral:rRNA from 1 species